rnacentral:lncRNA from 1 species
CCAGGCGCUCGCGCAUGCGCACAUCGGCAGGCUGGAGCAGGUGUGGUGGAAGACUUGAAACUCUCCUGCGGUUUUGAUGGGAAGUCUCCCGGUGCCCCUCUGUCGUCGGCCUGAACCGAGAAGCCGGCAGCAGCUCCUGCCCUUUCGGCCAGACGUGCCUACAGAGCUGCUAUUGUUUCCCUCAGAGUCCUAACCUGGCUGCAGGAGCACCGCUGCUGACGUUGGGUUUGAUUUCCAGAACAUAUUCGGCUGCAACUCACUCCUCUUCAGCUUUUCAGCAGAUCCAGGGUUGUAGGAAAGUCAAAGGCCAUUUCCGCCAAACUCAGGCCUAACUGAAUCUCAAAGGAGAAAAACUGAAGGGCAACAACCAGGCAUUGAAUUUGAUUCAGAAAGAUCUCUUUGGUGGUUUUUACACCUUGAUGUACAAACACCUUUAAAAGAAGAUCGAUAUUCUUCAUGUAUCUGCUGGAGGAAGGGUCUCAGACAGCCUCCCCAGGUCACCUUGAGCCCUGAGAUGAUAAACGGCAGCAUCCCGUCUCAUCCUGGCCUGUGUUCCUUCUCCACACCCGCUCCUGCUCCAUCCUACCUUCUGUACUUGCUACCCUUUGCAACCACCUCCUCUUCCCUGAACUCGGGCCAAAGCUGACUUGGCUGAGACAACCACAGCAUUGCUGCCUAUUUACCUUGGAAUAAUACAAAAUAAAAGCUGUGCUGACACUCUUGAGUUUAUCGAG